rnacentral:rRNA from 1 species
UACAGAGGGUGCGAGCGUUAAUCGGAAUUACUGGGCGUAAAGCGUGCGUAGACGGUUUCGUAAGUCGGGUGUGAAAUCCCCGGGCUCAACCUGGGAAUUGCAUUCGAAACUGCGAGGCUAGGGUACGGAAGAGGGAAGCGGAAUUUCUGGUGUAGCGGUGAAAUGCGUAGAUAUCGUAAGGAAGACCAGUGGCGAAGGCGGGUCUCUGGACAGUUCCUGACGCUGAGGCACGAAGGCCAGGGGAGCAAACGGG